AUAGAAGCGACCAGAGGUCCGUCAUUUAUGAGUGACAUUUCUAUUGAUGGUCUUACUCUCAAUCCUGGUGUAUGUAACUAGGAAAUAAAAACAGAACAAAGAAAGUCUUAACAGUUUAAAUGAUCGUGUAACAGUUACUUUGUACUGUAUAAUGAUCAUGUGAUAUGUGGGUAAUUUUGUACAUAAUAAUGAUCAUGUGAUAUUCACAAUGACUUUUACAUUAUGAUGAUUAAGUGGUAUUCAGUAACUUGUACAUUUUGAUUAUCAUGUGAUAUUCAUAAUGAGUUGAACACCAAAAAGAUCAUAUAAUAUUAAGUUAUAUGAUAGCAGCUCUUACAAAUAAUCAAAAUAGGUCAAUCAAAACAGAGUUUUAUUAGUUAAGGCUUUUCAUGUCAUGCCUCAUAAAGUGGUUGCAUUAUUUUAUAUGUCCCUACGUCUGUUCAUGCCCAAUGUAUUUGAAGGAAUAACGAUGCGAUCAAUAUUAAAAGGUUAUCAAAAUUAUCGGGUUUGUAUUAACAUUUUGUGGGUGUCACAAAAAAAGCAGAAUCAGUGUUCCGUUCUGAAACACCUGCAAUGACUCACAUAUUUUCUCAGUUGUUGUUUUCCGUUUUGAAUGUGUCAGUUCUUUUUUCGGUUCAUGAGUUUGAAUGUCCUUUUGGGAUGUUUUGUUUCUCUUUUAUCAUAAAAUCAAGAGUGUGUAUGUCCCUUUUGUAUCUUUUGCCUCUCUUGCAUGUUCAGAGCUUUCUUUUGUUUAAAUUGUCAGGAUUCUGCCUAUAUGUAGCAGUUCAUUGACGUUUAUUUUCUCAUGCUUUUCUUUUAUUUGCAAGUAAUUGGAAUUUGGUAACUCACAAACCAUGUUAAUCACACCUUGUUUUUAACCCAAUGUCAAUAAAUAUUAAAGCGGUGUAUUUAUAUUGUGUAAAUUGAACACUAAUUAAUAUUUGUUUUGUCAGCUAUAACAAAAGUUGUUCCAACACAGUGGGAUUUUGAUUGCGAUUGAUUAAUGGGAAAGGUGUAUGUGCAUUACAUAUACCAAUAGAUUUGUGUAUUUGAGGUUGAUUUGUGUGGUUGAUGUGUGAUGCAUCACCUUUUACUAAAAUGUUCUAUUAACUUAUCCGAUGAAAUUGUCAUGGGAUUUUGUUUAGUUUAAGCCUUCAUAAUUCAGAGUUAUUGUGUGGUUGAUGUGUGUCGCAUUGACGUUUAACUGAUAUAUUACUUCAACUGAUGUGAAGGUCAUGUAUGUUUUUGUUAAAGCGAAUCCUUCAUCAUUCGAAGUUAUCAAAAACCUUUUUUUUCCUAGGAUUAGCAUGGCAAAUUUAAAAAAAAAAACUCAUCUGCAUACCAAUAAGUUUUCUGGAUUUAUUCAUCAUUUGUGGCAUCCAUUCAGUCUUUUAUUGGUUUGUAGUCUCGAGUCAGCAUUGUAUCAUUGUGCGAGUGUAUUUUGUGUGUGUAAUGGUGGUGUCGUUAGUAAGUAUUUCGACUGUAUUCUAAUUUUUUCCCCAUGAAAAGUAGUGCCGCAGUCAAAUUACCAUGCAAUUCAGUGACCACGAGUCGAACAUAUCAUUUCAAAAACCGGACAGGGGUUAAAUUUAUAACAUUGUUAUUUGAUCUCCCAAGUAAAUUUGAGCCCCCUGUAUUUCAUAUAAAGUAUUGAAGAAUGACAUAGGUACAAUAUUUUGGAGAGGGAGUUCAAUUUUCCAUUGAAGGGGAUCAAAAUAAAAUAGGAAAGUGCUUAACAUCUUUUCGGACAUAUGUUUUUCAUUUAAGAUAGCAAUUGAUCCUUUAUAAAUAGAUACUAAAGGGUUUGGUCAUUAGAAAUUCUGACUUCUGAAAGAGGUUGUUCAUUCUUUUAUGGUAAAGGGUCUAGUUGAUGCGGAAAUUGUGCAUCUAAGGUUCAAUGGUAGGGGUCAAACUACUGUAGAUAAUUAUUUCAUCAAAAAUUUCAUAAAACAAUGAUGAUUUGAUAUUUCGAAAUUUCAAAAAGAGAGGAGAUCCAAAUACCAUGAUUUAGAAGAAGUAUACAUGUACCUUUUCCAAAAUGUAUUUUCAUUCUAGUUACUUGUAUAGAUGCAGCUAUCUUGAUGAUGUACUUACUGUUGAUAUUUCCGAGUUUAUUAACCAUGAAUAAUGUAUUCAUUAAUAAAGCUUAAGAUUAUA